rnacentral:antisense_RNA from 1 species
CCUGGUUAGCCGGGUAGAAUGUAAUCCACCCACCUUGGCCUCCCAAAGUGCUGGGAUUACAGGUGUGAGCCACCACGCCCAGCUGGAAACUGCCACUUUUAAACCAUCAGAUCUCAUUGAGAACUCCCUCACUAUCACGAGAACUGCGUGAGGGAAACCACCCCCAUGAUCUGAUCACCUCCCACCCAGUCCUGCCCUCAACAUGUGGGGAUUACAAUUCAAGAUGAGAUUUGGGUCAGGAAACAGAGCCAAACCAUAUCAAGAGCCUCUGGUAACCACUGUUCUACUCAAUACUUCUAUGAGAUAAACUUCUUUGGAUUCCACAUAUGAUCAAGAUCAUGAGGAAGGAGGAGCAAGUCUUCUUUGUCAUGCUGUUAAGAAAACACCCAGAGUCACAGCACCAUAAUCUCCUUGUGGAGCAGAACAAGUAAUAUAAAACUGAUCUAAAGAGGCCUCCCCUCUACUCUUAUCUGUCUGGUCGAGUCAUUUGGGGCCAAGUGGGCACCAUUGUGGGAGGGUGGGAGGACUCAUCACUGGGGGCGCAGGCAUCAUUGGCAUGUGGCCUCCUAUAUUAGUCUGUUCUCAUGCUGCAAAUAAAGACAACUUGAGACUGGAUAAUUU